UACGGAGGGUGCAAGCGUUAUCCGGAUUCACUGGGUUUAAAGGGUGCGUAGGCGGGCAGGUAAGUCCGUGGUGAAAUCUCUGAGCUUAACUCAGAAACUGCCAUGGAUACUAUUUGUCUUGAAUAUUGUGGAGGUAGGCGGAAUAUGUCAUGUAGCGGUGAAAUGCUUAGAUAUGACAUAGAACACCAAUUGCGAAGGCAGCUUACUACACAGUUAUUGACGCUGAGGCACGAAAGCGUGGGGAGCGAACAGG
rnacentral:rRNA from 1 species